CAAUACAAUAACGAUGUUCACAAAAAGUCAUAUUGAAAAAUUUCCAAUCUCAAGAGAGAUGAGCUCAAUAUAUUGAGAUAUGCCGUCAACAAAUUGGUUACUAUCGUAAAAGGAAUAAUCUGCUUGAACAUCUUAUGCAACUGUAUAAGAUAAAAUUUUAUUUUGAAUGAAUCUUAAUAGUAAUUUAAGACUACAUCACAAUAAUUAAGACCAUAAGGUAACAAAUAUUAAGAAGUAGACUAUCAGAUGCAUCAAAUCAUCACCCACUGAAAAAACAUCUAAGAAGAAAAAAGAAAGAAUUGUAGUUUUAUCUAUAGUUUUAUUCUUUCUAAAUGCUGAAUAAACUUGUUUACUCUGAUUCAGUAUGAUGUUCGAGAAGGAAAAAUUGUAUUUUCUACAUUAAAAAAAGAACUUAUAUCUAUGUGUAGAAGAACAUGAAAAAAUGCAGUGGCGUGAUUGAUUGUCGUUUAUGCUCCUGAAGAAGUCGCCAAUUUUUAACUACUUACGCUAAGUCGCCAAUUUUUAACUACUUACGCUAAGUAAUUCAAUGAUUGAAAUAAAAAUUGAACAUAUGAUACCGAAAAUUAUUAGAUUAAAAGCUUCCAAGAUAUUAAACAAUAAGAUAUUAAACAACGCGAUGUAGAGUUGCCACCUUUUAGCUUGAAUCAAAAACUCUGAAUUUUGAAGAUUUAUGUCCGAGUUUCGUUACUUCUCCACGUUGCAUAAAAUGUAAAAAAUGUCUUAUGUAGUUUUUAAUGAAAAAAAUUCCCUACAGCAUUGAAAAAAACUAAGAAGAGCGUUUCGAAUAAGAUGUAUACAUUACGAUGUUAUAUUUAUCGAUAAACUGUUAUGAAUUUAUC